rnacentral:other from 1 species
CAAAUCCUGGGGUGUGCGUAACGCUUUGAUUUUAAACCCACAUUCUAGUUACGGGAGUCUGGUGUCUGCCGCUUGUGUGCACGCCUGCUACGAGCAGGAAGCCUGAGAGUUGCAGCAGGGCGCCCACCUGCCGAGAGGCGGGUAUUAGAAUACAAAGCAUACGGCACUUUGGGUUUUUU